CCCAGAGUGGUGUAAUGGUAACAUCCCAAGUUGACACAUGGUAGAAGGUAAUGGGAUAGUAGACCAUGCCCCUACCAUGCCCUACGGGGGCCGGGGAAUCCGGGUUCGAUUCCUGGCUCUGGGA
rnacentral:tRNA from 1 species